rnacentral:snoRNA from 1 species
AAAAAGGAUGAGAAAAUUUUGACUUGACCUUUACUGAAGUCUAUUAGACAAAAAAAGCAGCCUUUUUUACUGCCC